rnacentral:tRNA from 1 species
GGAUUGUGGCUCAGUGGUAGAGCGCUCACCUAGCAUGUGCAGGACCUGGGUUUGAUUCUCAGCACCA